UAAUCCGUCACCGGUGUUAUGAAGUGUGAUGUGUUAUGGCGGGGGGAGCAGUAACAAUGGCUGAGGAUUUCCCAAUCAUAGAAAACACAAUUCACGGAUGGAUUGUUGGGUAUUAUUGUGAUCGCAUCCUCCAAGAAUGGUCCCAGAGCUUCGAACCGUGGUCAACGAACCAUAUUAAACUUGGAACCUACAUUGAUUCAAUCUCCAGUGUGACGAGCUUCAACAACGAGGUGCAAUACAAGCUGGAGCUUAUCUGUUGGUUGCCAAAAUUGUUUAGAUUGGAGAAGCAAGAGAAUGAAGAACCUUUCUUGAAAAUUAUUCAGAGUUUGGAUGCGAUUAAAGAUAUUUAUCCCGAAUCCUUUUUGGAAGAGACAACAGAAUUUUUUACACAGCUCAAGAAACAAUGUAUUCUUCUCUGCUCGCAAGAAGUUGGUUUUGUUGCAGCAAAGAAUCUCUCCAAAAAACUGGCAAGUGAAAGCAAACUUAACAAGGAAGAACUGCUUCAACAAAGUCGCGUAUUGUCCUCGCCUUCGAAACGUAGAGAAGAUGAAACAGGGACAACUGACGAAGGGGAAGAACAAAGUCACGUAUUGUCCUCUCCUUCGGAACGCGGAGUAGAUGAAACAGAGACAACUGACAAAGGGUCAUUUGAUUGUGGCCAUGCUGGAGCACCACUUUUAGUUGAGCAAAUCGACCCCAAGACAUAUUCUUUUUUCCGCCUACCAAAUCCACUCACAAGGCUUUGGUCGGCCCGAGGCUAUAGUAGAAGACACUUGCCCAAGGUUCCAUGCAGUGGGACUGAACCAGAACCAUGUGGUUGGUUUCCAAAACCACUGAUGCCGACCAAAAGAAAUUACAGAACAACAUCCGUGAUGACAUCAGCAGCUUGAUCUCAGCCUACCUCAAGAAAUAUCUUUUGACUGGAUCUACAGCUUUCUUAGUUCAGGCUGCCAGCAGAGCACUAGAAACGGAGAAGAAAGACAGUUCUGGUAUCGUUGAUAGCCAAAAGAAAAUCAGGU